CACAUACUCCCUCCGUUCCGAAUUACUUGUCGCGGGUAUGAAUGUAUCUAGAUGUAUUUUAAUUCUAGAUACAUCCAUUUCUGCGAUGAGUAAUUUGAAACGGAGGGAGUAUAAU
rnacentral:pre_miRNA from 1 species